AUAGCAGGGAUUUUUCAAAUAAGUAUUAACGUGCGAAGUCUCAUCCCGAACUGAAUUUCCGAGACCGUAAGGUCCCCUUGUUAGUGUAAAGAGGAAAGAACCAAAAAAGAAAAAAAUGUUUAAUUUACGACGAAAAAUACACUUUCACAACAGAUGUGAUCAAAACAAUAGCAGGGAUUUUUCAAAUAAGUAUAUGAGAAUAUUGUCUGAUGUCUCACUCUCUUUCAAAAGUUUGACCAAGGUAGUUAAUGCCUCAUCCUGCCGUUCUAAGCACCAGGAAUCGAAUCUGAACGAGAACCCAGGAAUCUUUUAGGAACGCAGCCUGUCCUGGAUAUAUCGAGCCCGUCUUUCCCUACCUAAUCAUCGAGUUACUUCGACCUUUUAUGGGUCUAGACCUUCGUAUAUUAAAUAAUAUUAGAGUACACAACGAUAUAUCUACGUAUUUGUGGCGUUCCGUAAUCAGUAGACAUUCGAUACUCUCGACUACCUGCUCUCUUUUCAUCCGCCAUUUCUGUCUUUCACUCGCUGCAGUCAGUUCGUUGACGAGCGGGCCAAGUUUCUGACAUCGUUACACAACAAAUUUCGACUUUCGUCAGCACUUUGGUAUGUACUACAGUCUAAACAUUAGAAAAAGCUAAAUUUAACAGCGUAGAGGAGGUUUACGUAAAAAACUAGCUACUGUGAGUUAAAGCGAAACGGGUAAAGAACCGCCACAGGGAGGUGGUCUGAAGAGGGUGAGUGACGUUGUCGUCACGUGAUUUAAAAGACAAUUGGUUGAAGCUCUCACGUGAUCCACGUUCCAUCUGGUUAUUGGUGGAAAGGUUCUACCAUCCCGACCUCUAUUGAUUAGAAGAAUAAGUUGUAAUUCGGAUUAAG